rnacentral:rRNA from 1 species
GAUGAACGCUGGCGGCGUGCCUAAUACAUGCAAGUCGAACGAGGUGCUUUUGUAGCAAUACGAGAGUAUCCUAGUGGCGAACGGGAGAGUAACGCGUUGGUGACCUACCCCAAAGUGUGGGAUAACAGUCCGAAAGGAUUGCUAAUACCGCAUGUGGUCAUUGGAUUUAGAAACUGAUGACUAAAGGAGCAAUUCGCUUUGGGAGGGACCUGCGUCCCAUCAGCUAGUUGGUGAGGUAAUGGCUCACCAAGGCGACGACGGGUAGGGGACCUGAGAGGGUGGCCCCCCACAAUGGAACUGAAACACGGUCCAUACACCUACGGGUGGCAGCAGUAGGGAAUAUUUCUCAAUGGGCGAAAGCCUGAAGCAGCAACGCCGCGUGCGUGAUGAAGGUCUUCGGAUCGUAAAGCGCUUUUCUGGGAGAUGAGAAAGGACAGUAUCCCAGGAAUAAGUCUCGGCUAACUACGUGCCAGCCGCCGCCGUAACAC